UUGCUCUGCUGGAUCAGUGGCGAACGGGUGAGUAACACGUGAGCAAUCUGCCCCUGACUCUGGGAUAAGCGCUGGAAACGGCGUCUAAUACCGGAUACGAGCUGCGAAGGCAUCUUCAGCAGCUGGAAAGAACUUCGGUCAGGGAUGAGCUCGCGGCCUAUCAGCUAGUUGGUGAGGUAACGGCUCACCAAGGCGUCGACGGGUAGCCGGCCUGAGAGGGUGACCGGCCACACUGGGACUGAGACACGGCCCAGACUCCUACGGGAGGCAGCAGUGGGGAAUAUUGCACAAUGGGCGAAAGCCUGAUGCAGCAACGCCGCGUGAGGGACGACGGCCUUCGGGUUGUAAACCUCUUUUAGCAGGGAAGAAGCGAAAGUGACGGUACCUGCAGAAAAAGCGCCGGCUAACUACGUGCCAGCAGCCGCGGUAAUACGUAGGGCGCAAGCGUUAUCCGGAAUUAUUGGGCGUAAAGAGCUCGUAGGCGGUUUGUCGCGUCUGCUGUGAAAACCCGAGGCUCAACCUCGGGCCUGCAGUGGGUACGGGCAGACUAGAGUGCGGUAGGGGAGAUUGGAAUUCCUGGUGUAGCGGUGGAAUGCGCAGAUAUCAGGAGGAACACCGAUGGCGAAGGCAGAUCUCUGGGCCGUAACUGACGCUGAGGAGCGAAAGGGUGGGGAGCAAACAGGCUUAGAUACCCUGGUAGUCCACCCCGUAAACGUUGGGAACUAGUUGUGG
rnacentral:rRNA from 1 species